rnacentral:tRNA from 1 species
GGGCCAGUAGCUCAGUCGGUCAGAGCAGCGGACUCAUAAUCCGUGGGUCGUGGGUUCAAGCCCCACCUGGCCCACCC